rnacentral:rRNA from 2 species
UUUUGUUGGAGAGUUUGAUCCUGGCUCAGGACGAACGCUGGCGGCGUGCUUAACACAUGCAAGUCGAGCGGAAAGGCCC